rnacentral:tRNA from 1 species
GGGGGCGUGGCUCAGUUGGGAGAGCGCUGCCUUCGCAAGGCAGAGGCCGGGGGUUCGAAUCCCCCCGCCUCCACCA